CACGUAGGGGCCAAGCGUUGUCCGGAUUUAUUGGGCGUAAAGAGCUCGUAGGCGGUUCGACAAGUCGGGUGUGAAACUCCAGGCUCAACCUGGAGACGCCACCUGAUACUGCUGUGGCUAGAGUCCGGUAGGGGAGCAUGGAAUUCCUGGUGUAGCGGUGAAAUGCGCAGAUAUCAGGAGGAACACCAGUGGCGAAGGCGGUGCUCUGGGCCGGAACUGACGCUGAGGAGCGAAAGCGUGGG
rnacentral:rRNA from 1 species